rnacentral:rRNA from 1 species
GACGAACGCUGGCGGCGUGCUUAACACAUGCAAGUCGAACGGAAAGGCCCUGCUUUUGUGGGGUGCUCGAGUGGCGAACGGGUGAGUAACACGUGAGUAACCUGCCCUUGACUUUGGGAUAACUUCAGGAAACUGGGGCUAAUACCGGAUAGGAGCUCCUGCUGCAUGGUGGGGGUUGGAAAGUUUCGGCGGUUGGGGAUGGAUUCGCGGCUUAUCAGCUUGUUGGUGGGGUAGUGGCUUACCAAGGCUUUGGCGGGUAGCCGGCCUGAGAGGGUGACCGGCCACAUUGGGACUGAGAUACGGCCCAGACUCCUACGGGAGGCAGCAGUGGGGAAUAUUGCACAAUGGGCGGAAGCCUGAUGCAGCAACGCCGCGUGCGGGAUGACGGCCUUCGGGUUGUAAACCGCUUUCGCCUGUGACGAAGCGUGAGUGACGGUAAUGGGUAAAGAAGCACCGGCUAACUACGUG